GAGGGAGCUUGCCGCGGCAGGCUGAGAGGGAAUGAAGGAACGAUUCCGACCUGUGGAACCUGAUACGGAUAAUGCCGGCGUAGGAAGAUAAAGAAGA
rnacentral:ncRNA from 1 species